rnacentral:lncRNA from 1 species
GUUAGUUACUUUUUGCUUUGCUGAGACAGAAUACCCGAUGCCUGAAGUUAAAAGAGGGAGGGUGUAUUUCAGCUCAUAGCUUGGAGACAUUUCAGUCUAUGGUCGGUUGGCUCCAAGGCAGGGAGGCAGGGCAGAGGGGCAUCACAGAAGAGAAACAGCUCCAAGGCAGAGGUGGCAGCUUCUCCCUUUAUCCCUUCUCAGGUACCUGCCUUUUGGGUGGUGCAGGGUGGGCCUUCCCAUUAUCCACACCCAGAACUAUGCUAAACCAAAGUGGACUAGUUUAGUAAUCAUGUACCCUUAAUCCCAGUAUCAUACCCUUGACCCCAGCAUCAUACACAACAGAGCCAGCCACCUCCAUAAAGCCCACUGUGACCUCAUGAGGCUUUGGGGGGAGAUCUAGAUAGAAGCCAUAAGAAGCCCCUUGCUUGACCAGCUGCUGCAUGUGAACACAUCACAUUUUUAUUCAGCUGGAAGGAGGUCAUCAGCGUAGGGAGAAAAAUGCCCACUGACACCACUUAGACCUUGUCCCUCCACCACAUUUCCCCCUGACCUAGACAUGUAUUUUCUGGCCCAAAGUCCACUAGACAGGAAUGUGACACUUUGGGGCUUCUUUUGAGGGAAGACAGCACUGACCGAGGAGAGGGAAGCCACUCUGAUCACAGAGUAAAUGAGUUUUCUUGAAUAGGGGAUCUCACUAUAGUUCAUGCUUGCCUUGAACUGGCUGUGAAGACCAGGCUAACCUCGAUCUCACAGUAAUCUUCCUGCCUCAGACUCCUCAGUGAAAUUUAUCUCUCUGUAUUGUGAGUAGAACUCCAUUUUGCAUGUAUACCAUAUUUUCUUUAUGUAUUUAUCUGU